rnacentral:rRNA from 1 species
UACGUAGGUGGCAAGCGUUAUCCGGAUUUACUGGGUGUAAAGGGAGCGCAGACGGAACUGCAAGUCUGAUGUGAAAGCCCGGGGCUCAACCGCGGGACUGCAUCGGAUACUGUAGAUCUGGAGUGCCGGAGGGGCAAGCGGAAUUCCUGGUGUAGCGGUGAAAUGCGUAGAUAUCAGGAGGAACACCGGCGGCGAAGGCGGCUUGCUGGACGGCAACUGACGUUGAGGCUCGAAAGCGUGGGGAGGCAAACAGGAUUAGAUACCCCGUA